rnacentral:rRNA from 1 species
AAUAGAUACCCGGUAGUCACGCCGUAAACGAUGAGUGCUAAGUGUUGGGGGGUUUCCGCCCCUCAGUGCUGCAGCUAACGCAUUAAGCACUCCGCCUGGGGAGUACGGUCGCAAGACUGAAACUCAAAGGAAUUGACGGGGGCCCGCACAAGCGGUGGAGCAUGUGGUUUAAUUCGAAGCAACGCGAAGAACCUUACCAGGUCUUGACAUCCCGGUGACCACUAUGGAGACAUAGUUUCCCCUUCGGGGGCAACGGUGACAGGUGGUGCAUGGUUGUCGUCAGCUCGUGUCGUGAGAUGUUGGGUUAAGUCCCGCAACGAGCGCAACCCUUAUUCUUAGUUGCCAUCAUUCAGUUGGGCACUCUAAGGAGACUGCCGGUGAUAAACCGGAGGAAGGUGGGGAUGACGUCAAAUCAUCAUGCCCCUCAUGACCUGGGCUACACACGUGCUACAAUGGACGGUACAAACGGUUGCCAACCCGCGAGGGGGAGCUAAUCCGAUAAAACCGUUCUCAGUUCGGAUUGUAGGCUGCAACUCGCCUAC